UGGGGAAUAUUGGACAAUGGGCGCAAGCCUGAUCCAGCCAUGCCGCGUGAGUGAUGAAGGCCUUAGGGUUGUAAAGCUCUUUCGCCGGUGAAGAUAAUGACGGUAACCGGAGAAGAAGCCCCGGCUAACUUCGUGCCAGCAGCCGCGGUAAUACGAAGGGGGCUAGCGUUGCUCGGAAUCACUGGGCGUAAAGCGCACGUAGGCGGAUCGUUAAGUCAGGGGUGAAAUCCUGGAGCUCAACUCCAGAACUGCCCUUGAUACUGGCGAUCUCGAGUUCGAGAGAGGUUGGUGGAACUCCGAGUGUAGAGGUGAAAUUCGUAGAUAUUCGGAAGAACACCAGUGGCGAAGGCGGCCAACUGGCUCGAUACUGACGCUGAGGUGCGAAAGCGUGGGGAGCAAAACAGGAUUAGAUACCCUGGUAGUCCACGCCGUAAAACGAUGGAUGCUAGCCGUUGGGGGGUUUUACCUCUCAGCGGCGCAGCUAACGCCUUAAGCAUCCCGCCUGGGGAGUACGGUCGCAAGAUUAAAAACUCAAAUGAAUUGAC
rnacentral:rRNA from 1 species